GUACUAUGAGUCAACGGUUCGAGAAAGGGAUAAAACGCCGCCUGCUGGAGUACGGUAGGGGUAGAGGGAAUUUCCAGUGGAGUGGUGAAAUGCGUAGAGAUCGGAAAGAACACUGGCGAAAGAACUCUGCUGGGCCGACACUGACACUGAGAGACGAAUGUUAGGAGAGCGAAUGGGAUUAGAUACCCCAGUAGUCCUAGCCGUAAACGAUGGAUACUAGGCGCUGCGCGUAUCGACCCGUGCAAUGCUGUAGCUAAUUCGUUAAGUAUCCCGC
rnacentral:ncRNA from 1 species